ACAUACUCUCUUAUCCAAGCUCGAGAGCUACGAAAUAAAACAAGUAUCUCGUUUCAUGUUAGAGUAGGUGACCAACAAGCCAACUUGUGGUUGUGGUCUUUCCAUUUAUUCUUGUAAUCGAUAAUCCUUUUUGUAUCAAUGAUAAAAACACCUUGGCAUUCUAUAUCUUUGUCCCUUUGUCACAAGCAUAGAUAUAGUCCUUACAGUUAUUACAAGUACUAGUAACUGAUCGUUAGGAUCGUGAGAUAUUUACUUUAGUAUUAUAACUGUUAAACGUGUUCCUAGUCGAAGGGUUACGCCACCAAUGAGGAUAUCGGCCUUUCGCAUUAAGAGGCUAGCACUUAGUUUAUGUGUACUGCAUCUCAUCAGUAAAUGGUAUUGUGAUAUCGGCAUGCAUAAGUGGGUGUUAGUAAGUUGACGAGUUCAGUGAACGCCCUCACCCUUGAAAUCUCUAAGUGGUUCUCAAUAAUUGAGUAGAUAUAUCUAUGGUAUAGUUGUACACCAUUAUUCCUUAUGACGUAGAUAUCACCGUGACUUCACUAGAGGACCAGCUGUAUCGUGACCUGUCCCUGAGUUCCACCGAGGACCACCCCAAGGGCCAGUGUUCGUGCAACCCGAAAUCUAGUGGGAGGUCUGUGCAUUGUAGUCGAGGAUUUGAUCGCUAGAAUAGUCUUUGAUGUUCUGUGUGUUCUCAUAGUUUGAAAUAUCUAAGUCUCUGGCCAGAGCUGACUAAGUGAUGAUUAGAGAAUUCGAUUCUCUAAGUCAUGCACGCAACGAUUACAACACUUAGAACGACCGCACAGUCAUUGAACUACUAAGGAGGUCUCGAUGAACCAAUGCCUCUAGUUCAAUCGGGACAUAUGAAUCGAAGGGAUCGUACUGUACACUAACUAUAUCAAUGUUGGGUUUCGGGCACGUGUACGCAGCGGAAAACAAAAAUUUAAUGUGAUUUAAACGACUUUAAAGCACACAAGCACAUGCCCGACAAAUUAAAAUCAAUUAAUUGCGUACCUUUGCGCUUCCAGCGAAAUUAAAAACAAUAUACAUGGUAAAUAAUUUAACCGAAUUUAAAUCAAUUAACAUGCUCGCGUUUAAACCAAAUAACAUGCUUGCAACGAUUAGAACGAUUACGCAUAAUUAGGGUUGUUCAUGGGUCGGGUCGGUUGAUUAUCGGCCGAUUAUCGGCCCGACCCGACCAACCGACUCUUACAAAUAUGUAAAACCAUUAUCGGCCCGACUAUUGUGAGUCGGGUAAUGGUUGGCAACCGACUUUGUCGGUUGCCAAAACGGGUCGGUUGAAAUUAUCGGCCCAUAUCGGCCACAUAUUAAUUAAAAUAAAAAAUAAAAAAAUUAUGCUAUUCUUCUAUCAAAAUUCAGCAACAAACAUUCCAAUAUUUCAUUCCCAAAAUCAAAUUUCAACAAUAUCACAUAUUACAAAUUAAAUUUCCAAAAACAAUAUAAAAUACUAAAACGAAUCACUUUCAGCCAUUCACACUUUCACACCACAAAAUUCUGAAACUUUUAAUUUUAAUUUGAGAAACACAAAAAAUCGUACCUUAGAAUUUAGAAAGAACUAGAAAGGGCUAGAGGUAAAUCUUUGGAGAAAGCAACGGCGCGUCGGCGGCGAUGGGCUGAUAGAGAGAGACGAGAGAUAUAUCGGCGACUAGAGAGAGAGACAAUAGUCGAAGAUAAGGCGAAAAUGAAGAUUAUAGUUUUUUUGGUUGUGUAUUUUUAUUCAUUUCACCGAAAUGUCAAAAAUUAAAUAUUGAAACUAAUAGUCAGUAAAAACAUAAAGAGAAAAAAAAAAAAAAAAAAAAGUCGGUUGGUCGGGUAAUAUCGGCCAACCGACUUUUCAACAAAUUAGAAACUAUACCCGACCCAACCAUGCAUGGGUCGGUUAAAAUUAUCGGCCCGACCAAAACGAGUCGGUUGGUGGGCAAUUAUCGGCCAGAAUAGUCGUGCAGAUAAUGGGUCGGUUGUCGGGUAAAACCGACCCAUGAACAACCCUACACAUAAUCACAUAAAAUCAUACGAUAGCAAACAUGAAUACAUAGUUUAAACGUAAACGAAUCGAAACAAGGGAUUCGUGUGUUUACCUCUUGAAGCGUGAGGUAGGAGCGCUUAGCAAGUCGAGAUUGCUACGGAAACCAAUCCGUACAAUCGGGGCAGCAGCGGUGCAGCAGCAGCAACGGCGAGACGGGCCGUGGCGGCGCGUGUAGCUCACACGCGGUCUUCGGGCGGCGCGUGGGGCUGCGUGCGGCUUCGGCUCGUAUGCUGCUCCUUGAUUCUUCGAUCUUCGAUCUUUCUCCUCUCGGAUUUCACCUCGUAUACUUCGAUCUACUAAACACGUGGCACUAGACACGUAAUAGUUAGAAAAACGGAAGAAAAAGAGAAGGAAAGAAACUACCAAGACAAUCGGCCGAUGAACGGCCGAAUCCGGCGAAACGGCGGGGAGGACGGCGGUGGUGGCCGCGGGAGAGAGAGGCCGAGAGAGAGAGGUGGACGGCUAGGGUUAGGGUUUUGUUGUGUGUUUUGUGCAAGACCCAUAAAUCAAGUAUUUAUAUGUCUUGCAUAAAACCCUAGCGGGCUUAAGUCCGUUAGUACUUUUACUUGCUCGUCUCUCUUAAUUCAAUGACCGAAAAAUUGCAACGAUUACAUUUUCGGAAUCAUUAUAAUUUCCUCGUCAUUACGAGUGCCAUUUCUCAUUUUCCACCUUUCCAAAAGUGGAAACCCUAGUUCAGUGCACUUUCUAAAUUUGGAAACUUCCCGAUUUAGAAAGUUCACUAAUACGUUCGCCUAUUCUUUUCCUUUUUCUUAUUCUCAUUCGUAAUUCUAAAUUACGAAUGUUGGACUCAAUCGUAUUGACUUCCAAUAAUGCAAAGAUAAACUAUUUUAUCUCUGACCGUUUAUUCAAAGAUCUCAUGUGCACGAGCAGUGUGACCCUCGAUGGUUCACGUGUAAGCUAGCCACAACUCUUUGUGGUCAAAACUCGUCCCUUAGAGUUACGAUUAAGAUGAAGCUCGUUUCACCUUAAUCACCCAACGAAUCAAGAUUGGCGUCUAGAAACUACGCGUCAUGAUUCCCUAGAUACAAAUGAAGUGCCUGCAAGAACCUUCAGAUAUAGUUAACGUACAGUACGGUCCCUUCGAUUCAUAUGUCCCGAUCGAACUAGAGGCAUUGGUUCAUCGAGACCUCUUUAUAUAUUCAAUGACGGUGCGAUCGUUCCAAGUGUUGUAAUCGUCACUUGCAUGACUUAGAGAAUCGAAUUCUCUAAUCAUCACUUAGUCAGCUCUGGCCAGUGACUUAGAAUGAUUACAAACUUUCAGAACACACAGGACAUCCAAGACUAUUCUAGCGAUCGAAUCCCCGACUACAAUGCACAGACCUCCCACUAGAUUUCGGACUGCACGAACACUGGCCCUUGGGAUGGUCCUCGGUGGAACUCAGGGACAGGUCACGAUACAGCUGGUCCUCUAGUGAAGUCACGGUGAUGUCUAGGUCAUAAGGACUAAUGGUGUACAACUAUACCAUAGAUAUCUCUACUCGAUUAUUGGGAACCACUUAGAGAUUUCUAGGGUGAGGGAGUUCAGUGAACUCGUCAACUUACGAGCACCCACUUAUGUAUGCCGAUAUCACAAUACCGUUUACUGAUGAGAUGCAGUACACAUACACUAAGUGCUAGUCUUAAUGGGAAAGGCCGAUAUCCUCAUUAGUGGCGUAACCCUUCGACUAGGAACACGUUUAACAGUUAUAAUACUUGAGUAAAUAUCUCACGAUCCUAACGAUCAAUUACUAGUACUUGUAAUAACUGUAAGGACUAUAUCUAUGCUUGUGACAAAGGGACAAAGAUAUAGAAUGCCAAGGUGUUUUAUCAUUAAUACGAAUAAAGGUUCGUUUAUUACAAUAAUAAAUACGAAAGACCACAGCCACAUGUUGGCUUGUUGGUCACCUACUCUAACAAUCUCCAAAUUGACCUAAAGCCAACUACCCAUAAAUCGCAAUCCCAUCGACUCUCGAUGUUUCUCAUGGACCGAUCUCGGUAAAGGCUUCGUGAAGGGGUCUGCAACGUUCUCUUCCGAGGUGACUCGUUCAACCUUAACUUCACCUCUGUCAAUGAUCUCUCGGAUCACGUGAUACUUCCUCAGAAUAUGCUUCGACUUCUGAUGAGAUCGUGGCUCCUUAGCUUGCGCCACGGCUCCGGUGUUAUCACAGUACAACGGUACUGGAUCACUAGCAUCAGGAAUGACACCCAACUCUUGGAUGAAUUUCCUUAUCCAAGUCCCUUCUUUUGCAGCUUCGGACGCUGCAAUGUUUUCCGCUUCGGUAGUGGAAUCAGCCGUCGUGCUUUGCUUGGAACUCUUCCAACACACAGCACCACCAUUAAGCGUGAAUAUAAAUCCUGAAUUCGACUUUGAGUCGUCCACAUCCGAUUGAAAACUAGAGUCAGUAAAACCCUCUAAUUUCAAUUCGGCACCUCCAUAGACCAAAAAUAUAUCCUUAGUUCUUCGCAAGUACUUGAGGAUAUCUUUCACGGCUUUCCAGUGAGCCGGGCCGGGGUUAGACUGAUAUCUGCUUGUGUCACUCACAGCAUACGCAAUAUCGGGUCUCGUACAUAGCAUGCCAUACAUUAUGCUUCCUAUGGCAGAAGCAUAGGGCGUCCUUUUCAUCUCCUCGAUUUCACUAGGUGUUUGCGGACACAUAGAUUUCGAGAGACGAACCCCAUGGGACAUUGGCAAGAAUCCUUUCUUGGAUUCUUCCAUGCUAAACCGUUUUGAUAACGGUGUCUAUGUACAGGCUUUGGGAUAAACCAAGCAUCUUUCUCGCUCUAUCUCUAUAGAUGCGUAUUCGUAAUACAUAAGAUGCUUCUCCCAAAUCCUUCAUUGAGAAACGUGUGGACAACCAUGCUUUCGUUUGCUGCAACAUUCCUACGUCAUUCCCAAUGAGUAGAAUGUCAUCAACGUAAAGCACUAAAAAUAUCACUGCCCUCCCACUAACCUUCUUGUAUACACAAGGUUCCUCCAGAUUCUUCUCAAAAUCAAACUCUUUGAUAGUUGAGUCGAACCUAAUGUUCCAACUACGGGAUGCUUGCUUCAAUCCAUAAAUGGAUCGCUGGAGCUUGCAAACCUUUUGCUCACUUCCAGAAGAUAUGAAGCCUUCCGGCUGCGCCAUGUAAAUUUCUUCCUCAAUAUCUCCAUUAAGGAAGGCGGUCUUCACAUCCAUUUGCCAUAUCUCGUAGUCGUACCACGCAGCUAUGGCCAGCAAAAUCCUAAUGGACUUCAGCAUCGCGACUGGCGAAAAAGUUUCCUCAUAGUCAACACCUUGCCUUUGAGUGUAUCCUUUUGCUACCAAUCUAGCUUUAUAGGUCGAUACCUUUCCAUCAACUCCAAUUUUUUUCUUAUAGAUCCACUUGCAGCCUAUAGGAACAAUUCCUUUGGGUGGAUCUACCAAGGUCCAUACCUUGUUGGAGUAAAUGGAGUCCAUUUCGGAUUUCAUGGCAGUUAGCCAAUGUCCCAUGUCCGCAUCCGAUACGGCCUCAUUGUAUGUUCUUGGAUCUUGUCCAAGAUCAACAUGAUCUUCAUCAUUUUCGAGGAGGAAUAACCUAUCCGGCAUUUUCCGAACUCUUUCGGAUCUACGUACCGUAGGUUCAGGAGGUAUAUUAGUGGUUUGUUGUAUUGGUUCGAUUACUUGUUCUUGCGUUUGAACUUCAUUGUGUGGUUCUUGAACUACUUCAAGUUCUAUCAUGCUGCCCUUUCUAUCGGAUAGAAACUCCCUUUCCAAAAAGGUGGCAUUUCUCGAAACAAACGUCUUUGUUUCUUUGACAUAGUAGAACUCAUAUCCCAUCGAGUCUUCGGGAUACCCCACAAACUAGCACAAGUCGGAUUUACUAUCCAACUUAUCUCCCACUAAUCGCUUCACAUAAGCGGGACAACCCCAUAUCCUAAUAUGUUUGUAGUUGGGUUUCCGGGAAUGCCAAAGUUCAUAAGGUGUGGAUUUAACUGCUUUGGUGUUAACUCUAUUCAGCAAAUACGCGGCAGUACGAAGUGCAUGACCCCACAAGUAUGCCGGUAAGUUUGUGAACCCCAUCAUUGAUCGAACCAUAUCUAAUAAAGUUCGAUUCCGACGUUCGGAGACUCCAUUAAGUUGAGGAGUCCCCGGUGGAGUCCAUUGGGAUUGUAUCCCAUUCUCUUUUAGAUAGUCAAUGAACUCGAUGCUCAAGUAUUCUCCACAACGAUCGGAUCGCAGCUUCUUAAUACUUCGUCCGAGUUGCUUUUCCACUUCGUGUCUAAAAUCUUUGAACCUUUCAAAUGUUUCAGACUUGUACUUCAUCAAGUACACAUACCCAUACCUAGAACAAUCGUCGGUAAAGGUAGCGAAGUAGUUAUAUCCACCCUUCGCACUAACACUUAGUGGACCACAUACGUCUGUAUGGAUCAAAUCCAAAAGACCCUCCGCUCGUUCCAUUUUCCCUUUGUAGGGUGACUUGGUCAUUUUCCCUUUAAGGCAGGAUUCACAAGUUUGUAGUGAUUUCACGUCCUCCAAAGAGAACAAUCCUUCACUGACAAAAUCGUUCAUCCUUCUUAAAGAGACAUGACCUAAUCUAGCGUGCCAAAGUUGUGCGGGGUUUUGAUCUAUCUCCUUACGUUUUGCUGAUAUAACAUUAAUAGGUAUUUCAUUUGGAUUUAGUUCAUACAAGUUGUUUAAUAGUCGUCCUUUGCAAAUUAAAUUCUCAUUCUUUUGUAUAAUGCAAAUCGAAUUUCCAAAAACAAAAGUAAAACCUUCAAUAUCUAAUACAGGAAUAGAAAUAAGGUUUCAAUACAAAUAAACAAUCGUUCAAAACAAUAGGAAAACUAGAAUCCAAAACAUUUAAGUAAAUUGUGCCAAUGGCUUCAGCAGCAACUCUUGCUCCAUUCGCCAUCCUUAGGUAGGUCUCACCCGCUCUAAGUCUUCGACUUCUUGUCAUUAGCUGCAAAUCAUUGCACAAAUGUGAGCCACAGCCCGUAUCCAAUACCCAAGAAGAAGAGUUGACAGACAAAUUUACGUCAAUGAAAUACGUACCCUUUUCAGAACCUUUCUGCUUUAGGUAAGCCUUGCAGUUGCGGCGCCAAUGUCCUUUCUUUCCACAGUGAUGGCAAGCAUCAUCAACUUGUUUGCUAACCUUUGCUUUGGGGCCCCCACUACCUUCACCCACUUCGAACUUGCUGUUUGGGAAGGGAACUCUUUCCUUUCUCUUCUUUUGGAAAGAACUCUUCUUUCCAGAAGUAGCAGCAAUGAGAACAGACUUCUCUUUCUUAAUGGUGGACUCGAAGCUGACCAACAUGUUCAUUAACUCAUCCAAGGGAGGAUCUAGUUUGUUCAUGUUGAAGUUCACUAUGAACGAUUCAUAGGAACUAGGAAGGGACAACAUGAUCAAAUCCAACGAGAGCUCGGCCGGGAGGGUGACAUCAAGAUUCACUAGCUUUUCAAGGAGAGUGAUCAUUUUGAGACAGUGCUCGUGGACCGAAGUCCCUUCGCGCAGUCUCGCCGUGAUCAACUCCUUUGUAGCAGCGUACCUCGAUGCCCUAAUAUUCUCACUAUACAUGCUAUCGAGAUGAGCCUUUAUAUCGAAAGCAUGCAUGUGAGACUCAUAUUUCCUCGCAAGCGCGGGCUCCAUGGCGGCUAUCAUAUAGCACCUAGCAUGAGUGUCAUCUUUCUUCCAAACUUUAUAAGUUUCCUUUUCAGCAUCAGUCGCUGUGGCAGGUAUAGUGGCGGGAAGUCUCUCGUUCAAAACAUAGAGACGCCCUUCAACAGUUAGCACAAGCUUAAGACUACGCAACCAAUCUAGGUAAUUAGGGCCAUUGAGUUUAUUGUCGAGGAUUGACAUUAUGGGAUUCUUAGACAUGAUUAUCUGAGACAUAUAGAGAAGAGGAUUAUUAGAGAUUCGCGUUAAAUAAUUGUUACAAUUAAAUGUUUGGACUUAUGUUAUUUAAUUGUUCUCCCACUAAUUUUAUCGAGUUCCACUUCCCUCUAGUAGACAAACGAGAAAACUGAUUUUUCUUAAUGGGCUCUAGGUCCAAUAGACAAAUAUAACCCGUAGUUAAUCUAGCCCGAUUAUAUUUGCCCAAAGGUAGAUCACAAUCAAUCAUAUCCACAAUAUGACCCUAAAUUAAAUUUUCCUCACACUUGAUAAUGACCUAAGUUAAUCUCGCGAAUAUCAAAAUCGUCGUGUGUCAAGUCUAACCUACCAAUCAAAGAUGCUCAUAGAACUUGAUUAUGCCAAACUAAUGCAGUCCCUAGUUAAUCUAGCCGACCACGUUAAUCCAACAUAACCCUUUUCUAUGGCUACCUUCAUCGUUAUGUCAAUUGAAUUACAGCUUACUCUACCAUAACACUCCCCGCUAACACGGCUUACUGCACUACAGUAAAGGGCUACACAUAAUCCAACCGUUGGCAGAAGGAAAGAAAUAACUCAACAGAUUGGGUUUUUCUUUAUAGCUUGAAAUGAUUCUCAAUUAGAUUAAGAAUGAGGGGUUUUAUUAAAAGUUUUAUCUCGUCAGAAGGUUCGGAUUGGUCUAUGUGAUUUCUACAUCUAUGUUCUCUAAAGGUAUAUGGAAACGCAUAUUGUCCUAAGAGGAACAUACGACCUAAUUAUAUAAUUAAUUACAUUAAUUAAUUAUCGGGUUUUUCAAAAUAAUUAUAGAACCUCAACUAGCAUAAAUCAUUCAAAUAAUGUUGAGGUACUACUAAUUAAGCUGAACUAUAAUCAAUAUUAUAUAUGUGUUCUAUUAAUUGAAAUCAAUUUAACAAUUUAAAUUAAUUAAUUAAUCUAACACCUAUUUACUAAAAUAGAUGAUUGUCGAUCCAAUUAUCUAGUUGGGAUUAAUUGAAAAUAAUUUUCCAAAAAUUAAAAUCAAUUUGUUUUAAGUUUAAUUUUAGAAAUCUGAAAUAAAUUAUUUUUUUAUUAUUAUUAUUUUUUUUUUCAGUGAACUGGUUCGGUCCAACCGGUCUGACCGGUUCGGACCGAAGCGGUCCGGUUCUGUCCGGUCCAGCUGACCCAAAUCAGUGGGCCGGGUCAGUCGGACCGGGAACCGGUCUGACCGACCCAAAUCCACGUGGAUUCGGUCAACUAAAUCACACACAACCAUCGAACCGGCCGGUUCGACCGGUUCGAUCCGAUUAAACAAAAACCGAUGUUUUAAAAACAAUUUCAUAUCCGAUUUUCCAAUUUUAAACAAUUUUAAAGCUGGACAAAUUCUAAACAAUAUUUCAAAAAUAUUUUAAACUUACGAAAACUCCCAAUUACAUAAUACAACAAUCACUACUUUAAUAAAUCGAACAUGCAUAAAAUCAUAGCAUAUUAUACGAUGCAAUUAAUUACGCAACGAGCUCUGAUACCACUGUUGGGUUUCGGGCACGUGUACGCAGCGGAAAACAAAAAUUUAAUGUGAUUUAAACGACUUUAAAGCACACAAGCACAUGCCCGACAAAUUAAAAUCAAUUAAUUGCGUACCUUUGCGCUUCCAGCGAAAUUAAAAACAAUAUACAUGGUAAAUAAUUUAACCGAAUUUAAAUCAAUUAACAUGCUCGUGUUUAAACCAAAUAACAUGCUUGCAACGAUUAGAACGAUUACACAUAAUCACAUAAAAUCAUACGAUAGCAAACAUGAAUACAUAGUUUAAACGUAAACGAAUCGAAACAAGGGAUUCGUGUGUUUACCUCUUGAAGCGUGAGGUAGGAGCGCUUAGCAAGUCGAGAUUGCUACGGAAACCAAUUCGUACAAUCGGGGCAGCAGCGGUGCAGCAGCAGCAACGGCGAGACGGGCCGUGGCGGCGCGUGUAGCUCACGCGCGGUCUUCGGGCGGCGCGUGGGGCUGCGUGCGGCUUCGGCUCGUAUGCUGCUCCUCGAUUCUUCGAUCUUCGAUCUUCCUCCUCUCGGAUUUCACCUCGUAUACUUCGAUCUACUAAACACGUGGCACUAGACACGUAAUAGUUAGAAAAACGGAAGAAAAAGAGAAGGAAAGAAACUACCAAGACAAUCGGCCGAUGAACGGCCGAUUCCGGCGAAACGGCGGGGAGGACGGCGGUGGUGGCCGCGGGAGAGAGAGGCCGAGAGAGAGAGGUGGACGGCUAGGGUUAGGGUUUUGUUGUGUGUUUUGUGCAAGACCUAUAAAUCAAGUAUUUAUAUGUCUUGCAUAAAACCCUAGCGGGCUUAAGUUGGAUCGGGCCCAACAGCUUAAGUCUGUUAGUACUUUUACUUGCUCGUCUCUCUUAAUUCAAUGACCGAAAAAUUGCAACGAUUACAUUUUCGGAAUCAUUAUAAUUUCCUCGUCAUUACGAGUGCCAUUUCUCAUUUUCCGACUUUCCAAAAGUGGAAACCCUAGUUCAGUGCACUUUCUAAAUUUGGAAACUUCCCGAUUUAGAAAGUUCACUAAUACGUUCGCCUAUUCUUUUCCUUUUUCUUAUUCUCAUUCGUAAUUCCAAAUUACGAAUGUUGGACUCAAUCGUAUUGACUUCCAAUUAUGCAAAGAUAAAAUAUUUUAUCUCUGACCGCUUAUUCAAAGAUCUCAUGUGCACGAGCAGUGUGACCCUCGAUGGUUCAGGUGUAAGCUAGCUGUGGGCCCACAACUCUUUGUGGUCAAAACUCGUCCCUUAGAGUUACGAUUAAGAUGAAGCUCGUUUCACCUUAAUCACCCAACGAAUCAAGAUUGGCGUCUAGCAACUACGCGUCAUGAUUCACUAGAUACAAAUGAAGUGCCUGCAAGAACCUUCAGAUAUAGUUAACGUACAGUACGGUCCCUUCGAUUCAUAUGUCCCGAUCGAACUAGAGGCAUUGGUUCAUCGAGACCUCUUUAUAUGUUCAAUGACGGUGCGAUCGUUCCAAGUGUUGUAAUCGUCACGUGCAUGACUUAGAGAAUCGAAUUCUCUAAUCAUUACUUAGUCAGCUCUGUCCAGAGACUUAGAAUGAUUACAAACUUUCAGAACACACAGGACAUCCAAGACUAUUCUAGCGAUCGAAUCCCCGACUACAAUGCACAGACCUCCCACUAGAUUUCGGACUGUACGAACACUGGCCCUUGGGAUGGUCCUCGGUGGAACUCAGGGACAGGUCACGAUACAGCUGGUCCUCUAGUGAAGUCACGGUGAUGUCUAGGUCAUAAGGACUAAUGGUGUACAACUAUACCAUAGAUAUCUCUACUUGAUUAUUGGGAACCACUUAGAGAUUUCUAGGGUGAGGGAGUUCAGUGAACUCGUCAACUUACGAGCACCCACUUAUGUAUGCCGAUAUCACAAUACCGUUUACUGAUGAGAUGCAGUACACAUACACUAAGUGCUAGUCUUAAUGGGAAAGGCCGAUAUCCUCAUUAGUGGCGUAACCCUUCGACUAGGAACACGUUUAACAGUUAUAAUACUUGAGUAAAUAUCUCACGAUCCUAACGAUCAAUUACUAGUACUAAUAACUGUAAGGACUAUAUAUAUGCUUGUGACAAAGGGACAAAGAUAUAGAAUGCGUAGGUGUUUUAUCAUUAAUACGAAUAAAGGUUCGUUUAUUACAAUAAUAAUACGAAAGACCACAGCCACAUGUUGGCUUGUUGGUCACCUACUCUAACAAUCAAAAGGUUCUUGCAGGCACUUCAUUUGUAUCUAGGGAAUCAUGACGCGUAGUUGCUAGACGCUAAUCUUGAUUCGUUGGGUGAUUAAGGUGAAACGAGCUACAUCUUAAUCGUAACUCUAAGGGACGAGUUAUGACCACAAAGGGUUGUGGGCCCACGGCUAGCUUACACCGAACCAUCGAGGGUCACACUGCUCGUGCACAUGAGAUCUUUGAAUAAAUGGUCAGAGAUAAAAAAAAAAUUAUCUUUGCAUGAUUGGAAGUCAAUAUGAUUGAGUCCAACAUUCGUAAUUUGGAAUUAUGAAUGAGAAUAAGAAAAAGAAAAGAAUAGGCGAACAUCUUAGUGGACUUUCUAAAUUGGGAAGUUUCCAAAUUUAGAAAGUGCAGUGAAUUAGGGUUUCAACUUUUAGAAAGUUGGAAAUCGAGCAUUGGCACUCGUAAUGACGAGGAAAUUAUAAUGAUUCUGAAAAUGUAAUCGUUACAAUUUUUCUAUCAUUGAAUUGAGAGAAAUGAGCGAGUGAAGAACUAACGAGCUUAAGCUGUUGGCCCCGGUCCAACUUAAGCCCGUUAGGGCUUUUAUGCAAGACACUAUAAAUACUUGAUUUAUAGGUCUUGCACAAACAACAACACAAUCCCGAAACCCUAGACGCUUGCCCUUUCUCUCUCUCGGCCACACCAGCUCACGGCCGUCGCCGUCGCCGCCGUUCAACCGCCGGAAAUCGGCCUCUGUUGGCCGAUUAUUCGUGGUAGUUCUAUUAUUCCUUUUAUUCUAACUAUUGCGUGUCUAGUGCCGCGUUUUAGUAGAUUGAAGUAUACGAGGUGAAAUUCGAGUGGAAGAAGAAUCGAAGAAUCGAAUAAUCGAGGAGCAGCCCCCGAGGCAACGCCGCACGCGCUGCCACGCGUCGCGCGAACACAACGCGUGAUCCUCACGCGCCGCCGUUGCUUACGCCGUCGCUGCUCCCGGAUUGCACGGAUUGGCUUCCGUGGCAAUCUUGCUUCGUUUAGUGCACCAACCUCACGCUUCAAGAGGUAAUUUUUCGAAUCCGGUAUCCGUUUGAAAUUAAUUUAAUUAGAUUAAAAUAUGCAUGAUCGUUUUCGUAGUAUGUUUUAUGAAUUUGUAUGUUUUAUAUGAUUACAUGAAAUUCAUGAUUUACUGCGAGCACAUUAAUUGAUUUAAAUGUUAGCAUGCUAAUUGAUUUACUGUCGAUUAAAUAAUUCGCAUGAAUGUUGUUUUUAAUUUCGCUGGAAGCGCAAAGGUACGCAAUUAAUUGUUUAUAAUUAUCGGGCAUGUGAUUAUGUGAUUUAAAUUUGUUAAAUUCGCACAAAAUUUUUGUUUUCCGCUGCGUACACGUGUCUGAUUCCCAACAGUUCACUCAUAUCAUAAAUUAUUUCAAGAAGGGAGAACUUCCAACCGACACCACCCAAGAACGGAAGUUAAAAACAAGAGCCGCUCGCUUCGUAAUAGUGGAAAAAAAACUGUACAUACGAGGGUUCUCCUUCCCUUAUCUCUGCCUCAGUCUAACUACAACAAACAACGUACUUCGAGAAGUACACGAAGGCAUUUGCGGAAAUCAUUUGAGUGGUAGAACAUUGUCUCUCAAACUGUUGAGACAAGGUUACUACUGGCCAACGAUGCAUGAAGACUCGAAGAAAUUAGCACAGAGGUGUAAACCCUGCCAAGAGCAUGCCAACAUCACUCACAUGCAGUGGCGUUAAUGCAACCGAUUGACAGCCCCAUCCCUUUCGCUGAAUGGGGGAGUAGACUUAGUCGGCCCCUUCCCACCCGCCACCGGAGGGUGCAAGUUCCUCAUUGUAGCCGUUCAUUACUUCACCAAAUGGGUUGAGGCCGAACCCUUAUCGCGCAUUCGAGAAGAAGAAGUCAUUCAAUUCCUCUGGAAGAGUAUCGUGUGCCGUUUUGGAAUCCCACAUUCCAUUAUUUCCGAUAAUGGAACCCAAUUUUGUGGAGACAAAGUGAAGAAUUGGUGCCUUGGCUUGGAUAUCAAAUAGUUCUUCACAUCCGUAGCCAACCCACAAGCAAACGGCCAAACUGAGGUCACGAAUCGCACCAUACUCCAACAUCUCAAAACAAGGCUUGGAAGUGCCAAGGGGAAGUGGGUGGAACAAUUGCCCAACGCCCUAUGGGCAUAUGGAACAACCCCACGAGCAGGAACCGAAGAAUCACCCUUUAACUCAGCUUUUGGAACAAAGACUAUCACACCCGUUGAAAUCAGUGAACCAUCUUGGCGAGUCACCAACUAUAAUCCCGAAGCUAAUGAAAAAGCUAUGCGAAGGAGCCUCGACCUUGUAGAUGAGCUACGAGAGACUGCAUGCGUCCGACAACAGAUGUACAAAACACGCAUGGCGAAGCCCUAUAACUCUAAGGUCCACCCUCGAUCUUUCCAAGUGGUAAACUCAACCCCAAAUGGGAAGGACCAUAUAAAAUCACACAAGUGGUCUACACUGGAUCAUAUCGCCUCGAGAACCUUGACGGACACCCUAUAUCUAGAACCUGGAAUAUAGGGAACCUCAAAAGGUUCUACGCUUGAGGUAUACACCAACCAUGCUUCAAAAUCGUUUAAGUUAGCAUCCGCAUCUAAUUACUCAUACAAAAGUCACUUAAAAACAGCUACCCUUGCAGGCUUCGCGACCUUCCACGUCACUCGUCUUGCAAAAAUGUCUCUAAACACCUGAGAAGUUCCAACUCCAUAACGAGGUGCGUAAGCGUCCCACCCAAACUGGGGGGCUACUAAUAUUAACUACCUCAACAUUCCAUAACCACCUUUCAUCAUCUUCUUACAGAUUGAGAAUCAAUUACAAGGGGAUGCCUUCCGUCCAUCACCUGCCCAAGGAGAGAAGAUACUCCGCACUUUCUCACGAAGGGUAACCCCACUUCUACUAAGUGAUAUCACACGCACAUAUAUUCGAUAUCUCUCAAACAUAGUAAUGCCAUCCUAUUUGACAGGCAUGAUUACGCAGCAAAUCACCGCAACUCACGAGUUGAUUUCACAUCUUGGAAUGCGAGAAAGAGAAACAGUCCCCAUAUGGGGUACGUGAACCUUUACUACACAUCACCCCAACUUAUUAAAUUACCAAGUCUUCAGUACAAGUACUUAGAGAUUUCUACUAUAUUUUUCAGGCAUAGAGACACCAAAGACAAUCGACAUACCACCAGCACAACAAGCACGGACGAGUACAAUGAAAACAUGGAAGAAGAACCAAUUAUUAUUGCUACGUAGAAUAGUUUUCAUUAUUUCGAAUCAUUCGCUUUUUACAAGUUUAUUUUCCUUCGCCUUAUGACAAUUCGCACUUUCCAUCAAUGAAAAGUGUUAUUGUUUCUAUACUACUUAACCUUUAUGACAGGUUCAUAUCAUUACAACCCUACGAACACUUACAGAAAUUAAGAUAAUCCUGGCCAGAUGGAUAAUCUGAGUCUCUCUAUUUUGUUUUAAUGGGUCCUCCAUUUAAAACGUGGCCACGGUCCUAACAUACGUACGACCCAUGCUGUCUAAACAAAGGGCACGACCCUUAACAAAAAUCUUCGGAGACUAAUCCCCUCCCCAAGUACAUCGCGUACAAUGCUAAAUUUAAACACAUAUAAGCAACGCAUAAAACUCUCGAGAAUGUCAAAAUAAAUAAAUCAAAAUUAUCAAACUUGUAAUGUGAAACACGGAAGAAAUUUCAAACAAAAUAGUAGUGGACAUACCCAUGUACGUCAAAGAUAAAAAUAAACUAAGUGCUCCACCCACAAGAGGGGUUAACUAUCCUACCGAACUAUCGCAUAUAAAAUUAAGCUUCCCCACCACGAGCGGAAGAAGACCCCAUAGUAGGAUCAUCAGGAACCAUGUCAUCCACAAGCUCAGUGCCCGUCUCAUACAUCCUCCAACUCUUAUCCCUCAUCGGGAAUACCGGGCUCCAUCCCUCGAAUGACCCUCUCACUAUUUCCACCCACCUUGCGAAGAUAUUUGUGACAAGUGCGAACUAAUGGCGUGUAGACAACAGCCAAAGCACGUUCCUCAAUCAUAGCACGGCAAGCUGCACUACCUCGGAAGCUACGUUCGGUCUCCUCCAUGACGGACUUCCUAUAAGCAGCACCUCACGACUUCGUGAGAAUCUUCUUUCCCGUCGCUUUCUAGGUCUCAUACUUAGCUUUCAGCAAAUCAUAGCACUCGUCCAACUUCUCAGCCUCAUCCUUAUAGGCCUUCGCCUCACCUCUACUAACUUCAAGCUCCUCCGUCCCCUAAGCAAGAUCGGACUGCGCUAUCUCCAACUGGCCUCGAAGCUAUGCUUCACGCGCUUCCCAGCGAGCUCACUCCUCAUCUUUCCUAGCUUCUGCUCUCUCAUCUUGCUCCAUGAGGAACCUCCAAGUAGUCAGCGCCUAGUUCAACACAACAAAAAAUGGUUACACAAGCAAAAAAAGGAAAUAAGAAUAAAACUUUGUCUUAAAACAAACACUUACCCGGCAUAAGUCUCCGCCAGCCAACUCAAGUAUGUGAGAAGAACCCUUACCGGACAUCCGAGCACGAUCAUAGUCUCGAACAAAAACCUUGGUACUCAUCAUCGCCAUACUACGGUCCGACACAUCCCAAUAGGACUCUUUCCCCUCGCGAUUCACCCCAAAAGUAAACAAUUGCUUCCUUGCCCCACCAUGGAACGCAUAAGGUGUUAGGAUAGUAGACUAAAAGUCUCGCUUUUAGCUACAUAAUUUUAUUAUUGAAUUAAUAAAAUAGUUUAUUAUCAUUUUAUGAGAAUUUGCACUAGGGUAUUCAAUUCAUUUAAUUGAUUGUUUGUCAAUUAAUUAAAAACAUAAGUCUAAUAUUCUAAUAGUAUUCGAAAUGGUGUGCUACGAUGCACAGAAUGAUCAUUUUGAAAGUUCGUUUAGAAUAUAAAGAUAAACGUUCACAAUCUAGAUGGAAAUAGACUAGCCAUUGGUAAAAGAUUGUAGCACAAUAUUAAGUAAUUCGUCUUGAUCACAGUAAAUAGAGAAUAACUUUUGUAGUUAUUGUUUUGACUUAUUGUGCUAGCACACCCGGCAUGUGUUGAACCGGACAAAGUAAAAUAAUUGUUUCAUCACUGUUCAUAAAUGAAACGGUAUUAUUUCUAGCUGCUUACUUUCUUAAUCCCUAGAUAAUUAAUGUACAUAUUUAAUUGAUGAUCUCUACUUUGAUGUCACAAUGGGAGAGAUUCCUAUAUUGAGUCAAAUGGCCCCCAAUGAGUUGGGUAGAGACAUUAAGAAUUAAUAGGUGGAAAUUAAUUAUCGAAAGGAAUCCACAUCUCUGAAAUAUGCGAUUGAUAAUAACCCUUGAGUAGCUUAUAAGAUUUGUUUAUGCCAAGUCCUGGCCAGGUGGAUUUUGUAUCUGGCAUACUCAAAUAAGUUAAGCGGGUAAGACUCAUGAAAAGAAACCAUUUAAUUUAUUUAGCAGUGAAUAAAUUAUUUGGUGGUUAUAAGGUAUCUUAAUAUGGGGAAAAUCUAAGUAAUGAUCGAACGGAGCUCGAAUGUAAUAUUUGAGAAUAUAAACGGGAGUUCAAUAAUUAUUUGUUAGUGGAAAAUAAAUAUUCAUUUAAUGAUUAAUUAAAUGAAUUCUUUUAAGAGUUUGGAUUUAAUUAAUUAUUAGUUGCCCGAUUUAUAUUUUCUCCUUUAGUCCCUAUUGUAGCCCAAUGGAUUUUCUAAUUAAUCGAGAAAAUAAAAGUUCAACCAAUAUUAUAUAUUGGAAUUAAUAUAGCCGAAAAUUAAGUCUCCAUUGUAACACCCCGCAUUUUCAUAAGCAUAUUAUAGGGAUUUAUUGAAUAAAUUAUCGUUUAUGCACAUUUCUAUACAUACAUUACCUUUCAUGAAUUAAUUAGUAAAUGCUAUGCACCUUAAUUUCUUACAUGCAUUAUAUGAGAUCAUGAUAAAUAUACAUUCAUGGAUUAAUUAGUAAUUUCAAUGCAUUCUAAGUGCACGUUUAAGUGAUUUUUAUAAAUUAUGAUAUUUAUGAAUUAGGUGUACUUGUUUGAUUAAAUGAUUUAAUAACUUCGAUUUCGUAAUUAAUUUAUUCUUAUGAUUCUUUGACUCUACUCCUAUGAAUUAUGUGAAUUAUAGUGUUUAUAAUAAUUUCAUGUUUGUGUAUAUUAGAUUCUAUAAUUUGAUUUCUUUCGAAUUAAAUGAUUAAUUAAGGUAAUAUGAUUAAAUGAAUAAUAUGGUUUAGUUCAUGAAUUUUAUUAUGUGAAUGAAUAUAAAUGUUUUUACUAGUGAUAACAUUAAGAAGAUAUUUUAUAUAAUAAUGAAAUAAUAAUUAAAUUCUUUUAUGUAAUUGUCUUUAAUUAUUUUAAUUAUAUAUACAUGUGUCUUAUGAAUAUGCUUAGUAUGUGGUUAUGUGUAUGUCGUGUCAUGUGCAUGAGUGUUCCAAAUGUAUGUGUGUUUAUGCUGCCAUGUGUUUAUAUGUAGGAAUAGAUUAGUGUCUUUCAUUAAUUGCCAUUAGCACCCCUGAUUUUCCUAAAUUGCUUAUGAGCCCCUCAACUUCCCUAUAAAUAGCACACUUCCUUUCCAAAAUUUCAGCAUAAAAAGCCCCUCCAUCUUCUCUUUUCCUACGGCAGCCCACACACCUCCCCCUUCUCUUCUCUUCCAUCGACAACACCUUUCACAUUGAGGAACUUUGUUUCCCACUUCAAGCCAAGAGGAUCCCACAUACUCUCCUACUUCAAUUACUCUCCAAAAGAUAAUAUUUAUCUCCUUAAAUAUCCAGAGAAACAGCCCCUUUACAACCACAAAAUCAGCCAUCCUAAGAUUUAAAAGUUUCAAGCCCAAGCUUCAUCAAUCUUUCGAUUUUCCUCUCUUCUUCGCCAUCGAUUCUUCAUGGGUAAGGACCUCUUGGUCUUUACUGAAAUAAUAACCUAAUUAAUAUCAAUUUUAUGUGUUUAAAUGAAUUAUAUGAUUGUGGUUUUAAUUUUGGGCUUUAGAAGAUAAAAAUCUUAAUGAACACUAAUUGAAAUUCAGAUUCGUAGCCUCUGUUUGUAUUGCAUGUCUCAUUGGGUAAUACUUAAGGUAAAAUUAUGAAAUUUUGCGGUAGUCUAGAUAAUUGUGUUAGCUUCAUUAUGAUAUCAAUUAUGCCUUAAUCUAAUUUAUAUUGUGUGAGUUAUGGAUCGUUUUAUGAAACUGCACAGUUUCUGAGUCAUUGAUGAGUUAUGUGUUUAAAAUGCCUUUAUACUAAUUUGACUUGCGUGAUUUACUUGGAUAUGAUUAAAGACUUGUUAAAGGUCUUCUCUAAAAAAUCUCACAGUGUUUGGUUAAAGGUAUGAAUUAAUUAGUAUUUUUGAAGUUGAUUGCUCUGUUCUGGAAAACUGACCGUGUCACUGCACUAAAUUAAUUAUUUCUCUUAAAUGGUUAAAUUUCUUGCUAAACAGUUUUAACGAGGUCUAAUAUACUUAUAUUUGAACAUCUUAUGAAAUUUUCAAGUGUUUUGAAUAUAUUUUCUAAUAGAUAUGAAUUUUCAAAGUUGAAAUACCAAAACUGUCCGAUUUUCUAAAAUAAACUAUUUUGAACUAGAAAGUAUGUUUAGAAGUUUGGUUUUAAAUUCUUGAUCCUUAGUUAAUAGAAGAAUUAAAAUUAUAUUAAGAUAAUAAAAUAUGAGAAGUUGAAUUUAAUUAUAGUUAUGGUCAUGAAUUAUUCAUUUAAGUCAUUAUGUGUGUUUCGAUUGAUUUGGUAUGUUGGUUUGAGAUUCAUUAUGUGUGUGCCGUAUGUGUGUAAGUAUUGAAGAUUGUUGGGAUUACUUGUGAGAUUAUUGGUCAAUUAAACUCGUUAAUGUUAUAUAGUAUAUGCUAUAUUUCAUACUUUAUAUAUAUGUUAAAUAAACGACUAUAUAUUUAUAUAUCCUAGCCUGCGUGGUCGUAGGAAUAAUUCCCGAUCCAUGGCUUAUAUAUGUAUACUAUCUCUAUAGCAACCUACGUGGUCGUCGAGUGAAAACUCCGAUCCAUGGUUUAUGUAAAUAUAAAAUAUACUAUUAUAAAUAUAUGUGGGGGUGUGUACAACUAUGUGUGUGUGUGUGUGUGUGUGGAUGAACAAUCAUCUUUACGUGAUUCGUAUUUAUUGUGCAACGCUUGAUUGGAUAUCAUUGCCGUGUGUGUGUGUGUGUAGCAGUGUAUAUAUUUGUGCCAUAUGUGUGAUUUAAUUAGUCUAUGUGAUAGUAUGGGGUUAGUAAAUCUUUGUGUUAUUUAAUUGUGACAUAUUUGUGUUAGAGUAGGUGACCAACAAGCCAACAUGUGGCUGUGGUCUUUCGUUUUUAUUAUUGUAAUAAACGAACCUUUAUUCGUAUUAAUGAUAAAACACCUUGGCAUUCUAUAUCUUUGUCCCUUUGUCACAAGCAUAGAUAUAGUCCUUACAGUUAUUACAAGUACUAGUAAUUGAUCGUUAGGAUCGUGAGAUAUUUACUCAAGUAUUAUAACUGUUAAACGUGUUCCUAGUCGAAGGGUUACGCCACUAAUGAGGAUAUCGGCCUUUCCCAUUAAGACUAGCACUUAGUGUAUGUGUACUGCAUCUCAUCAGUAAACGGUAUUGUGAUAUCGGCAUGCAUAAGUGGGUGCUCGUAAGUUGACGAGUUCACUGAACUCCCUCACCCUAGAAAUCUCUAAGUGGUUCCCAAUAAUCGAGUAGAGAUAUCUAUGGUAUAGUUGUACACCAUUAGUCCUUAUGACCUAGACAUCACCGUGACUUCACUAGAGGACCAGCUGUAUCGUGACCUGUCCCUGAGUUCCACCGAGGACCAUCCCAAGGGCCAGUGUUCGUGCAGUCCGAAAUCUAGUGGGAGGUCUGUGCAUUGUAGUCGGGGAUUCGAUCGCUAGAAUAGUCUUGGAUGUCCUGUGUGUUCUGAAAGUUUGUAAUCAUUCUAAGUCUCUGGCCAGAGCUGACUAAGUGAUGAUUAGAGAAUUCGAUUCUCUAAGUCAUGCACGUAAGGAUUACAACACUUAGAACGAUCGCACCGUCAUCGAACAUAUAAAGAGGUCUCGAUGAACCAAUGCCUCUAGUUCGAUCGGGACAUAUGAAUCGAAGGGACCGUACUGGACGUUAACUAUAUCUGAAGGUUCUUGCAGGCACUUCAUUUGUAUCUAUGGAAUCAUGACGCGUAGUUGCUAGACGCCUAUCUUGAUUCGUUGGGUGAUUAAGGUGAAACGAGCUUCAUCUUAAUCGUAACUCUAAGGAACGAGUUUUGACCACAAAGAGUUGUGGGCCCACGGCUAGCUUACACCUGAACCAUCGAGGGUCACACUGCUCGUGCACAUGAGAUCUUUGAAUAAACGGUCAGAGAUAAAAUAGUUUAUCUUUGCAUGAUUGGAAGUCAAUAUGAUUGAGUCCAACAUUCGUAAUUUGGAAUUAUGAAUGAGAAUAAGAAAAGGAAAAGAAUAGGCGAACGUAUUAGUGAACUUUCUAAAUCGGGAAGUUUCCAAAUUUAGAAAGUGCACUGAACUAGGGUUUCCACUUUUGGAAAGUUGGAAAAUGAGAGUUGGCACUCGUAAUGACGAGGAAAUUAUAAUGAUUCCGAAAAUGUAAUAGUUGCAAUUUUUCGGUCAUUGAAUUAAGAGAGACGAGCAAGUAAAGGAACUAACGAGCUUAAGCUGUUGGGCCCGGUCCAACUUAAGCCCGUUAGGGUUUUAUGCAAGGGACUAUAAAUACUUGAUUUAUAGGCCUUGCACAAGAACACAAGAAAAAACCCUAACCCUAGCCGCUCGUACCCUCUCUCUCUCGGCCCUCUCUCCUCGGCCACCGCGCCGCCGUCGCCGGAGCUUCACCGGAAUCGGCCAUUCAUUGGCCGAUUGUUUCGGUAUUGUUUUUCCUUCUCUUUUUCUUCCGUUUUUCUAACUAUUACGUGUCUAGUGCCACGUGUUUAGUAGAUCGAAGUAUACGAGGUGAAAUCCGAGAGGAGGAGGACUGUAGAUCGAAGAAUCGAGGAGCAACGCACGAGCCGAAGCUGCGCGCUGCCCCACGCGCCGCCCCGGAAUACCGCGCGUGUACCUCACGCGCCGCCGUGGGCCGAUCUGCUGCUGCUGCCGCUGCACCGCUGCUGCCCCGAUUGUACGGAUUGGUUUCCGUAGCAAUCUCGACUUGCUAAACGCUCCUACCUCACGCUUCAAGAGGUAAAUACACGAAACCCUAGUUUCGAUUCGUUUAUGUUUAAACUAUGAUCUCAUGUUUGCCAUCGUAUGAUUUCAUGUGAUUAUAUGUAAUCGUUUUAAUCUUUGCAAGCAUGUUAAUCGGUUUAAACGCGAGCAUGUUAAUUGAUUUAAAUUCGGUUAAAUUAUUUAGCAUGUAUGUUGUUUUUAAUUUCGCUGGAAGCGUAAAGGUACGCAAUUAAUUGAUUUAAUUUGUCGGGCAUGUACAUGUGUGAUUUAAAGUCGUUUAAUUCGCAUAAAAUUUUUGUUUCCCGCUGCGUAUGCGUGCCCGAAAUCCAACAGUUGUAUCAGAGCUCGUUGCGCAAUUAAUUGCGUUAUAUAAAAUGCUAUGAUUUUAUGCAUGUUCGAUUUAUUGAAGUAGUGAUUGUCGUAUUAUGUAAUUGGGAGUUUUCGUAAGUUUAAAAUAUUUUCGAAAUAUUGUUUAGAAUUUUUCCAGCUUUAAAAUUGUUUAAAAUUGGAAAAUCGGAUCUGAAAUUGUUUUAAAAUGUCGGUUUUUUAAUUGUUCGGAUCGAACCGGUCGGACCGGCCGGUUCGAUGGUUGUGUGCGAUUUAGUUGAUCGAAUCCACGUGGAUUCGGGUCGGUCAGACCGGUUCCCGGUCCGACUGAUCCGGCCCACUGAUUUGGGUCAGCUGGACCGGACAGAACCGGACCGCUUCGGUCCGAACCGGUCAGACCGGUUGGGCCAAACCGGUUCACUGAAAAAAAAAAAAAAAAAAAAAAUAUUAUUUCAGAUUUCUAAAAUUGAACUUAAAACGAAUUGAUUUUAAUUUUUGGAAAAUUAUUUUCAAUUAAUCCCAAUUAGAUAAUUGGAUCGACAAUCAUCUAUUUUAGUAAAUAGGUGUUAGAUUAAUCAAAUUGAUUUAAAUUGUUAAAUUGAUUUCAAUUAAUAGAACACAAAUAUAAUAUUGAUUAUAAGUUCAACUUAAUUAGUAGUACCUCAACAUUAUAUGAAUGAUUUAUGCUAGUUGAGGUUCUAUAAUUAUUUUGAAAAACCCGAUAAUUAAUUAAUGUAAUUAAUUAUAUAGUUAGGUCGUAUGUUUCUCUUAGGACAAUAUGCGUUUCCAUAUACCUUUAGAGAACAUAGAUGUAGGAAUCACAUAGACCAAUCCGAACCUUCUGAUGAGAUAAAACUUUUAAUAAAACCCCUCAUUCUUAAUCUAAUUGAGAAUCAUUUCAAGCUAUAAAGAAAAACCCAAUCUGUUGAGUUAUUUCUUUCCUUCUGCCAACGGUUGGAUUAUGUGUAGCCCUUUGUUGUAGUGCAGUAAGCCGUGUUAGCUGGGAGUGCUAUGGUAGAGUAAGCUGUAAUUCAAUUGACAUAACGAUGAAGGUAGCCAUAGAAAAGGGUUAUGUUGGAUUAACGUGGUCGGCUAGAUUAACUAGGGACUGCAUUAGUUUGGCAUAAUCAAGUUCUAUGAGCAUCUUUGAUUGGUAGGUUAGACUUGACACACGACGAUUUUGAUAUUCGCGAGAUUAACUUAGGUCAUUAUCAAGUGUGAGGAAAAUUAAUUUAGGGUCAUAUUGUGGAUAUGAUUGAUUGUGAUCUACCUUUGGGCAAAUAUAAUCGGGCUAGAUUAACUACGGGUUAUAUUUGUCUAUUGGACCUAAAGCCCAUUAAGAAAAAUCAGUUUUCUCGUUUGUCUACUAGAGGGAAGUGGAACUCGAUAAAAUUAGUGGGAGAACAAUUAAAUAACAUAAGUCCAAACAUUUAAUUGUAACAAUCAUUUAACGCGAAUCUCUAAUAAUCCUCUUCUCUAAAUGUCUCAGAUAAUCAUGUCUAAGAAUCCCAUAAUGUCAAUCCUCGACAAUAAACUCAAUGGCCCUAAUUACCUAGAUUGGUUGCGUAGUCUUAAGCUUGUGCUAACUGUUGAGGGGCGUCUCUAUGUUUUGAACGAGAGGCUUCCCGCCACUAUACCUGCCACAGCAACUGAUGCUGAAAAGGAAACUUAUAAAGUUUGGAAGAAAGAUGACACUCAUGCUAGGUGCUAUAUGAUAGCCGCCAUGGAGCCCGCGCUUGCGAGGAAAUAUGAGUCUCACUUGCAUGCUUUCGAUAUAAAGGCUCAUCUCGAUAGCAUGUAUAGUGAGAAUAUUAGGGCAUCGAGGUACGCUGCUACAAAGGAGUUGAUCACAGCGAGACUGCGCGAAGGGACUUCGGUCCACGAGCACUGUCUCAAAAUGAUCACUCCCCUUGAAAAGCUAGUGAAUCUUGAUGUCACCCUCCCGGCCGAGCUCUCUUUGGAUUUGAUCCUGUUGUCUCUCCCUAGUUCUUAUGAAUCGUUCAUAGUGAACUUCAACAUGAACAAACUAGAUCCUCCCUUGGAUGAGUUAAUUAACAUGUUGGUCAGCUUCGAGUCCACCAUUAAGAAGGAGAAGUCUGUUCUCAUUGGUGCUACUUCUGGAAAGAAGAGUUCUUUCCAAAAGAAAAGAAAGGAAAGAGUUCCCUUCCCAAACAGCAAGUUCGAAGUGGGUGAAGGUAGUGGGGGCCCCAAAGCAAAGGUUAGGAAGCAAGUUGAUGAUGCUUGCCAUCACUGUGGAAAGAAAGGACAUUGGCGCCGCAACUGCAAGGCUUACCUAAAGCAGAAAGGUUCUGAAAAGGGUACGUAUUUCAUUGACGUAAAUUUGUCUGUCAACUCUUCUUCUUGGGUAUUGGAUACGGGCUGUGGCUCACAUUUGUGCAAUGAUUUGCAGCUAAUGACAAGAAGUCGAAGACUUAGAGCGGGUGAGACCUACCUAAGGAUGGGGAAUGGAGCAAGAGUUGAUGCUGAAGCCAUUGGCACAAUUUACUUAAAUGUUUUGGAUUCUAGUUUUCCUAUUGUUUUGAACGAUUGUUUAUUUGUUCCGUCGCUCAUUAGAAACCUUAUUUCUAUUCCUGUAUUAGAUAUUGAAGGUUUUACUUUUGUUUUUGGAAAUUCGAUUUGCAUUAUACAAAAGAAUGAGAAUUUAAUUUGCAAAGGACGACUAUUAAACAACUUGUAUGAACUAAAUCCAAAUGAAAUACCUAUUAAUGUUAUAUCAGCAAAACGUAAGGAGAUAGAUCAAAACCCCGCACAGCUUUGGCACGCUAGAUUAGGUCAUGUCUCUUUAAGAAGGAUGAACAAUUUUGUCAGUGAAGGAUUGUUCUCUUUGGAGGACGUGAAAUCACUACAAACUUGUGAAUCCUGCCUUAAAGGGAAAAUGACCAAAUCACCCUACAAAGGGAAAAUGGAACGAGCCGAGGGUCUUUUGGAUUCCAUACAGACGUAUGUGGUCCACUAAGUGUUAGUGCGAAGGGUGGAUAUAACUACUUCGCUACCUUUACCGACGAUUGUUCUAGGUAUGGGUAUGUGUACUUGAUGAAGUACAAGUCUGAAACAUUUGAAAAGUUCAAAGAUUUUAGACACGAAGUGGAAAAGCAACUCGGACGAAGUAUUAAGAAGCUACGAUCCGAUCGUGGUGGAGAAUACUUGAGCAUCGAGUUCAUUGACUAUCUAAAAGAGAAUGGGAUACAAUCCCAAUGGACUCCACCGGGAACUCCUCAACUUAAUGGAGUCUCCGAACGUCGGAAUCGAACCUUAUUGGAUAUGGUUCGAUCAAUGAUGGGGUUCACAAACUUACCGGCAUACUUGUGGGGUCAUGCACUUCGUACUGCCGCGUAUUUGCUGAAUAGAGUUAACACCAAAGCAGUUAAAUCCACACCUUAUGAACUUUGGCAUUCCCGGAAACCCAAUUACAAACAUAUUAGGAUAUGGGGUUGUCCCGCUUAUGUGAAGCGAUUAGUGGGAGAUAAGUUGGAUAGUAAAUCCGACUUGUGCUAUUUUGUGGGGUAUCCCGAAGACUCGAUGGGAUACGAGUUCUACUAUGUCAAAGAAGCAAAGACGUUUGUUUCGAGAAAUGCCACCUUUUUGGAAAGGGAGUUUCUAUCCGAUAGAAAGGGCAGCAUGAUAGAACUUGAAGUAGUUCAAGAACCACAAAGUGAAGUUCAAACGCAAGAACAAGCAAUCGAACCAAUACAACAAACCACUAAUAUACCUCCUGAACCUACGGUACGUAGAUCCGAAAGAGUUCGGAAAAUGCCGGAUAGGUUAUUCCUCCUCGAAAAUGAUGAAGAUCAUGUUGAUCUUGGACGAGAUCCAAGAACAUACAAUGAGGCCGUAUCGGAUGCGGACAUGGGACAUUGGCUAACUGCCAUGAAAUCCGAAAUGGACUCCAUGUACUCCAACAAGGUAUGGACCUUGGUAGAUCCACCCUAAGGAAUUGUUCCUAUAGCUGCAAGUGGAUCUAUAAGAAGAAAAUUGGAGUUGAUGGAAAGGUAUCGACCUAUAAAGCUAGAUUGGUAGCAAAAGGAUACACUCAAAGGCAAGGUGUUGACUAUGAGGAAACCUUUUCGCCAGUCGUGAUGCUGAAGUCCAUUAGGAUUUUGCUGGCCAUAGCUGCGUGGUACGACUACGAGAUAUGGCAAAUGGAUGUGAAGACCGCCUUCCUUAAUGGAGAUAUUGAGGAAGAAAUUUACAUGGCGCAGCCGGAAGGCUUCAUAUCUUCUGGAAGUGAGCAAAAGGUUUGCAAGCUCCAGCGAUCCAUUUAUGGAUUGAAGCAAGCAUCCCGUAGUUGGAACAUUAGGUUCGACUCAACUAUCAAAGAGUUUGAUUUUGAGAAGAAUCCGGAGGAACCUUGUGUAUACAAGAAGGUUAGUGGGAGGGCAGUAAUAUUUUUAGUGCUUUACGUUGAUGACAUUCUACUCAUUGGGAAUGACGUAGGAAUGUUGCAGCAAACGAAAGCAUGGUUGUCCACACGUUUCUCAAUGAAGGAUUUGGGAGAAGCAUCUUAUGUAUUAGGAAUACGCAUCUAUAGAGAUAGAGCAAGAAAGAUGCUUGGCUUAUCCCAAAGCCUGUACAUAGACACCGUUAUGAAACGGUUUAGCAUGGAAGAAUCCAAGAAGGGAUUCUUGCCAAUGUCCCAUGGGGUUCGUCUCUCGAAAUCUAUGUGUCCGCAAACACCUAGUGAAAUCGAGGAGAUGAAAAGGACGCCCUAUGCUUCUGCCAUAGGAAGCAUAAUGUAUGGCAUGCUAUGUACGAGACCCGAUAUUGCGUAUGCUGUGAGUGUCACAAGCAGAUAUCAGUCUAACCCCGGCCCGGCUCACUGGAAAGCCGUGAAAGAUAUCCUCAAGUACUUGCGAAGAACUAAGGAUAUAUUUUUGGUCUAUGGGGGUGCCGAGUUGAAAUUAGAGGGUUUUACUGACUCUAGUUUUCAAUCGGAUGUGGACGACUCAAAGUCGAAUUUUGGAUUUAUAUUCACGCUUAAUGGUGGUGCCGUGUGUUGGAAGAGUUCCAAGCAAAGCACGACGGCCGAUUCCACUACCGAAGCGGAAUACAUUGCAGCGUCCGAAGCUGCAAAAGAAGGGACUUGGAUAAGGAAAUUCAUCCAAGAGUUGGGUGUCAUUCCUGAUGCUAGUGAUCCAGUACCGUUGUACUGCGAUAACACCGGAGCCGUGGCGCAAGCUAAGGAGCCACGAUCUCAUCAGAAGUCGAAGCAUAUUCUGAGGAAGUAUCACGUGAUCCGAGAGAUCAUUGAUAGAGGUGAAGUCAAGGUUGAACGAGUCACCUCGGAAGAGAACGUUGCAGACCCCUUCACGAAGCCUUUACCGAGAUCGGUCCAUGAGAAACAUCGAGAGUCGAUGGGAUUGCGAUUUAUGGGUAGUUGGCUUUAGGUCAAGUGGGAGAUUGUUAGAGUAGGUGACCAACAAGCCAACAUGUGGCUGUGGUCUUUCGUUUUUAUUAUUGUAAUAAACGAACCUUUAUUCGUAUUAAUGAUAAAACACCUUGGCAUUCUAUAUCUUUGUCCCUUUGUCACAAGCAUAGAUAUAGUCCUUACAGUUAUUACAAGUACUAGUAAUUGAUCGUUAGGAUCGUGAGAUAUUUACUCAAGUAUUAUAACUGUUAAACGUGUUCCUAGUCGAAGGGUUACGCCACUAAUGAGGAUAUCGGCCUUUCCCAUUAAGACUAGCACUUAGUGUAUGUGUACUGCAUCUCAUCAGUAAACGGUAUUGUGAUAUCGGCAUACAUAAGUGGGUGCUCGUAAGUUGACGAGUUCACUGAACUCCCUCACCCUAGACAUCACCGUGACUUCACUAGAGGACCAGCUGUAUCGUGACCUGUCCCUGAGUUCCACCGAGGACCAUCCCAAGGGCCAGUGUUCGUGCAGUCCGAAAUCUAGUGGGAGGUCUGUGCAUUGUAGUCGGGGAUUCGAUCGCUAGAAUAGUCUUGGAUGUCCUGUGUGUUCUGAAAGUUUGUAAUCAUUCUAAGUCUCUGGCCAGAGCUGACUAAGUGAUGAUUAGAGAAUUCGAUUCUCUAAGUCAUGCACGUAAAGAUUACAACACUUAGAACGAUCGCACCGUCAUCGAACAUAUAAAGAGGUCUCGAUGAACCAAUGCCUCUAGUUCGAUCGGGACAUAUGAAUCGAAGGGACCGUACUGUACGUUAACUAUAUCUGAAGGUUCUUGCAGGCACUUCAUUUGUAUCUAUGGAAUCAUGACGCGUAGUUGCUAGACGCCUAUCUUGAUUCGUUGGGUGAUUAAGGUGAAACGAGCUUCAUCUUAAUCGUAACUCUAAGGGACGAGUUUUGACCACAAAGAGUUGUGGGCCCACGGCUAGCUUACACCUGAACCAUCGAGGGUCACACUGCUCGUGCACAUGAGAUCUUUGAAUAAACGGUCAGAGAUAAAAUAGUUUAUCUUUGCAUGAUUGGAAGUCAAUAUGAUUGAGUCCAACAUUCAUAAUUUGGAAUUAUGAAUGAGAAUAAGAAAAGGAAAAGAAUAGGCGAACGUAUUAGUGAACUUUCUAAAUCGGGAAGUUUCCAAAUUUAGAAAGUGCACUGAACUAGGGUUUCCACUUUUGGAAAGUUGGAAAAUGAGAGUUGGCACUCGUAAUGACGAGGAAAUUAUAAUGAUUCCGAAAAUGUAAUCGUUGCAAUUUUUCGGUCAUUGAAUUAAGAGAGACGAGCAAGUAAAGGAACUAACGAGCUUAAGCUGUUGGGCCUGGUCCAACUUAAGCCCGUUAGGGUUUUAUGCAAGGGACUAUAAAUACUUGAUUUAUAGGCCUUGCACAAGAACACAAGAAAAAACCCUAACCCUAGCCGCUCGUACCCUCUCUCUCUCGGCCACCGCGCCGCCGUCGCCGGAGCUUCACCGGAAUCGGCCAUUCAUUGGCCGAUUGUUUCGGUAUUGUUUUUCCUUCUCUUUUUCUUCCGUUUUUCUAACUAUUACGUGUCUAGUGCCACGUGUUUAGUAGAUCAAAGUAUACGAGGUGAAAUCCGAGAGGAGGAAGACUGUAGAUCGAAUAAUCGAGGAGCAACGCACGAGCCGAAGCUGCGCGCUGCCCUACGCGCCGCCCCGGAAUACCGCGCGUGUACCUCACGCGCCGCCGUGGGCCGAUCUGCUGCUGCUGCCGCUGCACCGCUGCUGCCCCGAUUGUACGGAUUGGUUUCCGUAGCAAUCUCGACUUGCUAAACGCUCCUACCUCACGCUUCAAGAGGUAAAUACACGAAACCCUAGUUUCGAUUCGUUUAUGUUUAAACUAUGAUUUCAUGUUUGCUAUCGUAUGACUUUAUGUGAUUAUAUGUAAUUGUUUUAAUCUUUGCAAGCAUGUUAAUCGGUUUAAACGCGAGCAUGUUAAUUGAUUUAAAUUCGGUUAAAUUAUUUAGCAUGUAUGUUGUUUUUAAUUUCGCUGGAAGCGCAAAGGUACGCAAUUAAUUGAUUUAAUUUGUCGGGCAUGUACAUGUGUGAUUUAAAGUCGUUUAAUUCGCAUAAAAUUUUUGUUUUCCGCUGCGUAUGCGUGCCCGAAACCCAACAAUUUGUGUGUUAUUUGUGGUGAUUAAACGGUAAUAGCAUUUUGGUCUUAGCAUUCAAGUCCAUGCAUAUAUUUUUGAAAGUUUGGAAAAUUAAUGGAAUGCUUGAGUGAAUAAACGGGAUACGGUGGGCCGAUAUCCAGAUUUUGUUAAAGAGUGGUUUGAUCCCACUAAAGAAACGGGCUCGUAACAGUUUAUUGGCCAUGUAUGGAAAUUAAUUUUUCACGGAUCCGGUAACCGAAAAUGGGUAUUUUAUUUUUUUACGAUUUUUAGUGAAAACGAAAAUGUGUUUUUCACGAUUUUUAUGGUAAACGAGAAACAAAUUUUUUUCAUGAUUUUAUGGUAAACGAAAACGAGUUUUUAAACUAUUGAUUAAUGUCUCAAGUAUAUCACGUAUUCUCUUGACAGUAUGAAACAUUAACGAAAUACUUGGCAGAAUAAACAUCGGAUACGGAGGGCCGGUAUCCAAUACAAGUUCAAAAGGAGUGGUUUGUUCCACAAUAGAAACGGGCUCGAAACGCUUUAUAGUUUAUUGCUUGAGUACAUAAAUUAAUUUUCCAAGGAUCCGAUAAAGUGAAAAAAAUAUUUUUCUCAUGCAUUGCAUUCACAUGCAUUUUGGUCAUUGUGCAUAUUAAAGUGAUUUGUGUGCAAAUUAUGUGCUUUUGUGACCCGUGUGUUGUCGUAUAUUACCUGGGGUUUAGAUAGUCACGUUGGGAUUCUGAUAAGGAUCCUGUUGCAUUUCAUUUAUAUGCGUAAAGUGUUAAAUUGAUACUAAGGGGACUUUAUGUCCGCGAGUAAUAUGAGGAUUUUAUAUCCGUAUAAUAUGAAAGAGGACUGUGUGUCCAACAUACCAAGAUUGAGGUAAACAAUAUUAUAUGUUUAUAUGUACGGGUAUAUGUUCGACUAUGUUUUAUUAUAAUAUUCAUGCUUCGUGGUUCUUAAUUUUGAAGAAUAGAAGUACUGUAUUUGUAUGUGAUGUUAUGUGCUUUCACUUAUGUGAUCGAAUGUCUUGGUCUAAACGAAUAAAUUGAAUAUAGAGGACAUAGUUGAAGCUUUAGGAUUAUCCCUACACGAAAGAACAUAGAGACGAGGACUUUAGGGCUCCUAUAGGACGUGAGUGACACGUUGAGAGAGGUGUGAGUAUCGUCAGGCCAAUGUUCUUACUGAGCCAGUGGUUGGGCUCACGCUUUAUGCGAAUUUCCCCUUUUCAGGUUCUCGAAGUAAUCAGAGUGCGCAGCGGAGCGGAGUUCAAGGAAUCACGAACCUUGAGGCCUUGCACGUCUUACCCGGAUUUCGUAAAAGAUCCAUGUUUUCACUUUCGUCUAUAAAAAGGUCUUAUGUAAAAAUGGAGAUUUUUAUUUUACUCUGAUUUAGGAAUCCAGUCUAUUAAACGGGGGUAUUUAAAUCAAGUUUAUUUUCCUUCCGCUGUCUUACAAGUUUUCUUUUCAAACCCCGAUAAUGAUUUGGUAGCACUCUUUAUGGAAAUCGUAACUUUGAAUUGUGGGUUGUAUUUUAAGUAAAGAGAAAUACUUUAAAAUUUUAAAUUGGGUUUCUCAAAGUUCAAAUUGAUCCGGAAUUUUUAAAGUCCACUUAAACAUUUCUUCUUUAACUAAAAUUCAUGGAGGGUGUUACAUCCAUUGGAUUGCAAUUUUCAACUAUAUAGAGUUAUAGAAGGAGUGGGAUUUGUUUUCAUGUAAUCCUCUCUAUGCGUGACUCUAAUUCCUUGUGAUAUAGAUAAUAGAGAUUGGGUUGAUGAGAAAAAAAAAAGUGCAACACGCCUAUACACGUUCUAGAGAAGAAAAUAUUUUUCUCUUCUUCUUUUCUCUCUAAGUUUCUCGAUUAUAAAUUUAGAUUUAUUAAAGUACAAGUCCACCCUUGUAGAUGUUGAAUGAAAUCGCCGAAGAUAUGUACGUGUAUCAACAUGUUUCGCUAGACGAGGUUCCGAUCAUAACAUGGAAACCUAUAAGCCAAGAACAAGUAACAUUCUUGAAUACGUGCCUACAAUCCGAAAACCCCGAGUCGUUGUAUAGACAAGCAAUUAAUUACCAACGAACUUUAUCGAAAUAAUUAUUUUAAAUUAAUCAAGAUUUAAUUAAUUUUCUAAUUUCUUUUAAAAAAUAUUUUCAGCUCGACUACUUCAACAAAACGAAUCUGAAAUCAACGUGCAUGCACUUACAGAAAGCGGUGAAAAACGGCCACACGGGCUCUCUUUACGUAACCUGCAUCGUUUUGCUCUUCAGUGGGAACGAAGAACUCAAGCAACAGGGCAUCAAGUUAUUGGGGAACAUGAAAAAGACGAACGGCUUGAAGAGAAGGCUUCGAAUUUGCCGCAAUAAUUUGCAUAGCAUUCUGAAGAUGAUUUAGGUGAAGAAUCCGGUUUUGCUGGAGCCGCCGGUUUGCUGUACGGCCCGAGAUCCGCAUCACAGGAAAAGGCGAUGGUCUGAAGUGGAGGAAGAUGUCACGUGCGAGGCUUGUGUUGCUGAUCAAGAGAUUAAUUUACUUAGUAGUAGAUUAAUUUUGAUUAAUCAUUUGAUUUAUUAGCAUUAUUUGUCAGGUAGCUAGUGUUCAUUUUUCCAAUUGAUGAAUUCAAAACUUCAACUUUGUUAUUUUCUGAAUUAUUACCCUGCAUUAUUUCUCUAUAUAUAUUCCAUGUAAUUGAACCCCCUAACAUAAUGGGGUUUAUCUUACGUAAUAUUUCUUUCUUUCUCCUAUUCUAUUCUUCAUAUAUGGUAUCAGAGAUUUAUGGUAUCAGAGAUUGAAGGGUGUGACUGUUACACUUAAUUUCACCACUAAUCCCAGAAUUGUUACACUUAAUUAAUUUCACCACCAAUCCCAGAUCAUUGGAAAAAUAAGGCACGAAAAUGUUGAUAGAUUAAGGGCGUACCACUUUUCGCAAGAUGAAAAGCUCAUGGUGUAUGAUUAUCAAGAUCGGGGCAGCGUAUCUAGAUUCUUACACGGUACGUAAAAAUUCUUUAACAUAGUUAAAAUGAAAGAAAGUUAUUAUUAGAUAUUAACUAAUCAAUUUGCUUCAACUUUGCAGACAAGACAGGCGCUGAUUGGAGACCUUUGGACUGGGAGGCUCGACUUAAAAUUGUUGUGGGUGCAGCAAAGGGUAUUGCCCACAUCCACAUACAAGAUGGUGGGAAAUUUGUGCAUGGAAAUAUAAAAUCGUCAAACAUAUUCCUAAACAGUCAAAAAUACGGGCUUGUAGCGAAUGCUGGAUUGGCAAAACUGGUGGAGCCUAUCAGAAGGCUAGUUGUGCGAAAUUUAGGACAAUUUGCCCCAGAAGUGAAUGACACGAGCAACGUGUCACAAGCUUGCGAUGUGUAUAGUCUUGGGGUUUUGCUGCUUGAACUUGCCACGGGAAGGCCAGCCCAGCACACGAAUGAAGAAGGUGAUGUCGUCUCACUGGUUAGGUGGGUUCAAUUGGUUGUUCUUGAAGAAUGGAGUGACGAAGUGUUUGAUGUGGAGAUUCUUAGGUAUAAAAAUGUGGACGAGGCAAUUGUACAGUUGCUGCAGAUAGCGAUGGAAUGCGUUGCUUUUUCACCGGAAGGAAGGCCUAGGAUGUUUGAAGUAGUGAAGGUGUUGGAAGAAAUUAGCAAUGGGAUUAAUAGAGGGGAGAAGGCAUCCAUUCAAUCAAGAUUGGAAGAUGUAAUGGAAGAUUUAUUGCCUCGGAUACAUCAUGGUUUUUAACAAUCUCUCUCUCUCUCACACACACACACACUUUGAAUAUAUUGAAAGUAGUUGACGAUUGAUUGUACGAAGGACACGUGUCAAAUACAUUCAUAAUAAGGAAGCUUGUUUACUUCUUUGCUCAUGUAUUUCUUUCUUUUUUUAAUUACGUACUACGAAUUCAGAGUCAUUAAUUAUUUCAAAGUAAACUCCGAGGACAAGAAAAAAUUAACCUCAAGUAUUAAUCAUGUUGAAAAAAUUAUUUGAACAUAAUGUAUAUAUAUUCAUAGUAAGUAAUUUUAUAAAAAAUCACAUGUGGGACAAUUUUGGUAUCUUUAUAAGUUUCAAUGGGCAUAGUUGGAACAAUAGAAUUCUGAACUUCGAAGGUUAGAUCUAUUGAAUUUAUUGUCAAAAUUUUGAGGUUUAACGAUUUCUUUUAAUAUUUUUUAAAAUAAUUAAAAGUCAAGUAAUUUUAAUACCAAAAAAAAAAAUAGUAGUAUUAGAAGAACAAGAAACACCGCACACAAAUUUCAAUCCUAAAUCAACAAGGUAAGUACAUAUAUUCGUUCUAGUAAAUAAGGAAAAUAAAUAAUUAAGGCGUGCCCAACAUGGAAGUAUUGUGACACAUGCAAAAUCCUACCAUAUAUAUAUUUGCAUAUAUGGUAAAUUACCAAUUAAUAACUAUUUUAUUUCCUAAUUAGUUCAGGUUUCUAUCUCUGAAUCAUCUAUAUAAACACCUUCAACUUCUAUCAUAAUAAAUCACGAAAAAGAAUAAAGAAGAGAGAAAAAAACUAUAAUCAAUCACACCCCUGAAGGAUUAUUAAUCCAACAAUCAUAAACACCAUGACAAGAAAUCCGAAGAACAAGGAGAGAAACACUAAAGCUGUUUCGAGUAUGUUCGAUAGCAUUCCCCAUGAAUUGGUUUCCGAAGUUUUAAGCCGAGUUGUAUCGUCUUCCAUCAAGGACAUCUUCAAUGCCAAAUUAAGGUGCGUUAAUAUAAUUAACUUCAAGAAACAUGUUCUUGCAUGAUUAUGGUUUUACGACCGUUGAUUUAUUUUCGUUCGUUUCGUUUCUAUUCCCUGUUUUUUUUUUUUAGAUGUUUAAAUUUUUUUUCGAUCUCAACCAAUUCUUUAUAAACUGAAAUUUUAAAUCCAGAUAUUAUGUGGGUUAUCGAGUUUUCGAUUAUUAAUUAUCAAUUGAUAUAAUCGUGAGCGAUGUGUGUUUGUGCAUGUAAUUAUCAUCUUCGAUACCUUAGAUAAUUAAAUUUUUUAAACAUAAUUUUUUUUUGGGCACAGCUGCAAGAUGUUGAAUGAAAUCGCCGAAGAUAUGUACGUGUAUCAACAUGUAUCGCUAGACGAGGUUCCAAUCAUACCAUGGAAACCUAUAAGCCAAUAACAAGUAACGUUCUUGAAUACGUGCCUACAAUCCGAAAACCCCGAGUCGUUGUAUAGACAAGCAGUUGUAAGUUUCUUGAUUUCAAAAAUUAAUUACCAACGAACUUUAUCGAAUUAGUUAAUUUAAAUUAAUCAAGAUUUAAUUAAUUUUUCUUUUUUUUUAAAUCUUUUUCAGCUCGACUACUUCAACAAAACGAAUCUGGAAUCAACGUGCAUGCACUUACUGAAAGCGGUGAAAAACGGCCACAGAGGCGCUUUGUACGUAACAUGCAUUGUUAUUCUCUUCAGUGGGGACGAAGAACUCAAGCAACAGGGCAUCAAGUUAUUGAGGAACAUGAAAAAGACGAACGGAUUGAACAGAAUGCUUCGAAUUUGCCGCAAUAAUUUGAAUAGCAUUCUGAAGAUGAUUUGGGUGAAGAACCCGGUUUUGCUGGAGCCGCCUGUUUGUUGUACGGCCCGAGAUCAGCAUCACAAGAAAAGGCGAUGGUCUCAAGUAGAGGAAGAUGUCACGUGCGAGGCAUGUGUUGCUGAUCAAGAGAUUAAUUUACUUAGUGGUAGAUACAAUUUUGAUUAAUUAUUUGAUUUAUUAGCAUUAUUUGUCAAGUAGUUAGCGUUCAUUGUUCCAAUUGACGAAUUCAAAACUUCAACUUUGUUAUUUUCUCAAUAACAAUAAAUUCACUUGAAAGCUAUGUAAUUCUUCCAUUGCAGUCUAUUUCCGAUUUCCAGAUGAUUCUCAUUGGAAUUUUUUUUACUUUGAAAUAAUAUUUUUUAUUCCAAUUUCUGUUUUUUCAUUCGAAAUUUUUCUACUUUGAAAUAAUAUUUUUUAUUCCAAUUUCUGUUAUUUCGAUAUUAUUUAGAUCGGAAUCAAGGUGGUGGGAAUAUGUUUUACUGUUUAGGAAUAUGUUUGACGAUUUUAUAUUUCCAUGCACAAAUUUUCCACCAUCUUUAUUCGCUACAAGCCCGUAUUUUUUACUGUUUAGGAAUAUGUUUGACGAUUUUCCACCAUCUUUAUGAUUGUUGGAUUAAUAAUCCUUCAGGCGUGUGAUUGAUUAUAGUUUUUUUUUCUCUCUUCUUUCUUCUUUUUCGUGAUUUAUUAUGAUAGAAGUUGAAGGUGUUUAUAUAGAUGAUUCAGAGAUAGAGACCUGAACUAAUUAGGAAAUAAAAUAGUGAUUAAUUUGUAAUUUACCAUAUAUGCAAAUAUAUAUAUGGUAGGAUUUUGCAUGUGUCACAAUACUUCCAUGUUGGGCACGCCUUAAUUAUUUAUUUUCCUUAUUUACUAGAACGAAUAUAUGUACUUACCUUGUUGAUUUAGGAUUGAAAUUUGUGUGCGGUGUUUCUUGUUCUUCUAAUACUACUACUAUUUUUUAUUUUUAUUUUUGUAUUAAAAUUACUUGACUUUUAAUUAUUUUAAAAAAUAAUAAAAGAAAUCGUUAAACCUCAAAAUUGUGACAAUAAAUUCAAUAGAUCUAACCUUCGAAGUUCAAAAUUCUAUUGUUCCAACUAUGCCCAUUGAAACUUAUAAAGAUACCAAAAUUGUCCCACAUGUGAUUUUUUAUAAAAUUACUUACUAUGAAUAUAUAUACAUUAUGUUCAAAUAAUUUUUUCAACAUGAUUAAUACUUGAGGUUAACUUUUUCUUGUCCUCGGAGUUUACUUUGAAAUAAUUAAUGACUCUGAAUUUGUAGUACGUAAUUAAAAAAAAAAAAAAGAAAAAAACAAAGAUGUCGUAUGGGGUGAAAUAACACUUGACAUAGUAAACACAAAAUUUGAUAUCUGGCAAGUAAAUACUUGUGGACCGGCUUCAGAGGUGAAAUACUUAUAUAAACAGUAUUACAAGAAUACACGAGAAAAGAAGUAAACAAGCUUCCUUAUUAUGAAUGUAUUUGACACGUGUCCUUCGUACAAUCAAUCGUCAACUACUUUCAAUAUAUUCAAAAUGUGUGUGUGUGUGUGAGAGAGAGAUUGUUAAAAACCCUGAUGUAUCCGAGGCAAUAAAUCUUCCAUUACAUCUUCCAAUCUUGAUUGAAUGGAUGCCUUCUCCCCUUUAUUAAUCCCAGUGCUAAUUUCCUCCAACACCUUCACUACUUCAAACAUCCUAGGCCUUCCUUCCGGUGAAAAAACAACGCAUUCCAUCGCUAUCUGCAGCAACUGUACUAUUGCCUCAUCAACAUUUUUAUACCUCAGAAUCUCCACAUCAAACAUUUCGUCACUCCAUUCUUCACGAACAACCAAUUGAACCCACCUAACCAGUGAGACGACAUCACCUUCUUCAUUCGUGUGCUGAGCUGGCCUUCCCGUGGCAAGUUCAAGCAGCAAAACCCCAAAACUAUACACAUCGCAAGCUUGUGACACGUUGCUCGUGUCAUUCACUUCUGGGGCAAAUUGUCCUAAAUUUCGCACAACUGACCUUCUGAUAGGCUCCACCAGUUUUGCCAAUCCAGCAUUCGCUACAAGCCCGUAUUUUUUACUGUUUAGGAAUACGUUUGACGAUUUUAUAUUUCCAUGCACAAAUGAAAUCAACAGAUAUUCAAAAAAGAUAAAUAUUAUCAUUUGAUUGAGAAUUUUAACAUAUUCUUAACCUUGACAUUCAAAAAAGAUAAAUAUUAUCAUUUGAUUGAGAAUUGUAACAUAUUCUUAACCUUGACAGGGCCAAGUACAAUCGACCAUGUCUAAAAACAGUCAUGGGAACAGUCAUGGGAAGGUAUGUUCCGACAUGUGAGAUAGUUUGAAAAUUGGAAUAAAUUUCUAGAUUCUCAAAAUUUUAGAAUUAGAAUCGGAAUCAGUUUUGUACUUCCGAAAAGAAUAAUUAUUCUUUUUGAAAAGGUUAAUUAUGAUCCAUAACAUCCGUCUUUCAUCCCUAAGAGCAUAUGUUGUAUCAACUACCAAAUUAAAAAAAAAAUUGCAUUCAGACUAUAAUCUAAAAUUACAAUUUGAGUAAAAAUUAGAACAAAUCUCCAACCGUUGAGAGUAAAUUACCAAUCGAGGUAGACCAUGUGGUUUCCUAAAUGAGAAUUUUCUUGAAUCUGACGGCUCUCUUACUGAAAGGAGACUAAAGAUCAAGAAACUGAAUUUUUCAUCGUCAAGUUAAGAAAACUCCACCUUUUGAAAGAAAACGACUUCCAAAUGCGCCUCUGGUUGCCGUCGUUUUUGGUAACAAACUUCCCCCCCCUAAAAUCCACACCAAUGAAUCAAAGAAGACCAAGCAGCCCUCUACAUUUCUACCAUUCUUCCAUUUGAAACAUUAGGCAAGAAGUGGAGUUGAGAACCGUUCCUAUAUAUAAUUCAUAGAAACUAUAUAAUUAUGAUUCACACAACACAUAAACAUACUACUCCGGUACUCCCUGAAAAGCAAACACCAAUCCAACUUCAAUAUAAGUAUCAUUAUUCAGCUAACGUAUUGAAAAAGUAAAAAAUAUCAAUCUAUAAAUACAAUAUACAAAUACUGUGAUGGCAAACACCAAUCGAACUUCAAUAUCAAAACCAAAACACAUUCUGAUUAGUGUGUUAUGAAGAGGAAACAAAUUAAGUAAGGACUACCAUAAACCAAUAUUUAGAGUUGUAUCAUAUAAGCGACUAUUACAUACCUUACAUUCAUAAAAUAGGUUUAAAAUUAUCAAUGUCAUAAUACACACACACACAAAAAAAAAGGAAAAAAAAAUAGGAUCAUGUCUAUUCAGUUCUUCUCAAGUUUGGUAUUCUUCACUACCUUAGUAGUCGACAUUUGCGUAGCUCCACCAUCUGACAAAUUGCAGGAAUCGUGGUAUCAUCAUCACAUAUGAAACCUAAACACUGAAUAGAAGUAAUGUUAAGUUCAUAAAAAAAAUUGCAUAAAAAAAUACAUAUAUUGAUUUAAAUACAUAUAUUUGGAGAUUUAACAUAGAAACUCAACGCCAAAUGAUAGUAGCAGGAGAAAAUAAUGUUAAAUGCAUGGUUUGGAAAUGACAAAAGAGGCAUCACAAUCACCAGGUUUGUGAAAAAAAAAAGAAAGAAACAAAUGAUGGAUGCCCAACAAAUACAAUACAAUUUGGAAUCUUUUCGUAAACAAAAAUUUCGUUAAAAAAACAU
rnacentral:lncRNA from 1 species